rnacentral:rRNA from 1 species
CCAAGCUACAAAGGGCGCACGGUGGAUACCUAGGCGAUGAGAGGCGACGAAGGACGUGGACAGCUGCGAAAAGCUCUGGGGAAUUGCUAACAAAUUGUGAUCCAGAGAUAUCCGAAUGGGACAACCCGCGCAGGGACUACCUGCCAGCUGGUGGUCAAUACAUAGCCAUCAUGCAGCAAACCCGGGGAACUGAAACAUCUAAGUACCCGGAGGAGUAUAAAUCAAUAGAGAUUCCCCUAGUAGUGGCGAGCGAACGGGGACCAGCCUAAACCGAUAUGGUGUAAGCGUACUGGCGUUGUCAUAUCGGGGUUGUGGGAUUUCUCAUAGAGUCCAGUAUGACUCUGAGUGAGUUACAAAGGUGAUUGUUAGCCGAAGAUUCUGGAAAGUUUUGCCAAAGACGGUGACAGCCCGGUAGGCGAAGGCAAUCACUCUCACGAGAAACACCCGAGUACCGCAGGACACGAGAAAUCCGGCGGGAAUCUGGGACGACCAUGUUCCAAGGCUAAAUACUACUCAUCGACCGAUAGUGAACUAGUACCGUGAGGGAAAGGUGAAAAGCACCCCGGCGAGGGGAGUGAAAUAGUACUUGAAACCGUGUGCCUACAAGCAGUGGGAGCACUAUGGCUCAUCUUUGGAUGAGCAAUGUGUGACCACGUACCUUUUGCAUCAUGAGCCUGUGAGUUACUUUAUGUGGCGAGGUUAAGCCGUUAGGUGUAACCGUAGCGAAAGCGAGUCUUAACAGGGCGUUCAGUCACAUGACGUAGACCCGAAACCCGUGCGAUCUACCCAUGUCCAGGUUGAAGGGUGAGUAACAUCACCUGGAGGACCGAACCCACUGGAGUUGAAAAUCCAGGGGAUGAGGUGUGGGUAGGAGUGAAAGGCUAAUCAAGCCGGGAGAUAGCUGGUUCUCGCCGAAAUGUAUUGAGGUACAGCCUCGAGUGAAUUGCGUCGGAGGUAGAGCACUGAUUGGGCUAGGGGUCCCACCAGAUUACCAAACCCAGUCAAACUCCGAAUGCCGAUGACAACUGCUCGGGAGUGAGGCAGCGGGAGAUAAGUUCCGUUGCCGAGAGGGAAAGAGCCCAGACCGUCGGCUAAGGUCCCUAAAUCUAGACUAAGUGGGAAAGGAUGUGGAAACGCACAGACAACCAGGAGGUUGGCUUAGAAGCAGCCACCCUUUAAAGAAAGCGUAAUAGCUCACUGGUCAAGCGAGUCUGCGCCGAAAAUGUAACGGGGCUAAGUCUAGUACCGAAGCUGCGGGUUCUCGUAAGAGAGCGGUAGGCGAGCGUUCCCAUGGAGAUACUAGGUAGACCGUAAGGACUGCUAAUGGCCAUGGGAAGUGAAUAUGCAGGCAUGAGUAGCGAUAAACCGGGUGAGAAACCCGGUCGCCGUAAGCCCAAGGUUUCCUGGGGAAGGAUAAUCCUCCCACGGGUUAGUCGAUACCUAAGCCGAGGCCGAGAGGCGUAGGCGAUGGAAAGCAGGUUAAUAUUCCUGCACCACUAGGGAUAGUGUAGACGCGAGCGGGGACGGAGAAGGGUAGCCCAGCACGGCGGAUGGUCGUCCGUGUUCAAGCCUGUAGGCUGAGUCGUUAGGACCCGAUAGGGACAAACGGCGACUUAAGGCCGAGAGGUGAUGAGGUCAUGUCUAAGACGUGGAUACUGGGUAAUCCCAUGCUUCCGAGAAAAGCCGCGCGCAGAGCUUCUCUAGUGAUCGUACUCCAAACCGACUCAGGUGGGCGGGGUGAGUAUCCCAAGGCGCGUGAGAGAACUCUGGUUAAGGAACUCGGCAAAUUGGCACCGUAACUUCGGGAGAAGGUGUGCCGUCGGCUGUGACGAGCUUGCGCUCUGAGCGGCUGAUGGUCGCAGUGACCAAGUGGUUGUGACUGUUUACUAAAAACACAGGACUCUGCGAACUCGUAAGAGGACGUAUAGGGUUUGAUGCCUGCCCGGUGCUGGAAGGUUAAGGGGAGUUGUUAGGAGCAAUCCGAAGCAGCGAACCGAAGCCCCAGUAAACGGCGGCCGUAACUAUAACGGUCCUAAGGUAGCGAAAUUCCUUGUCGGGUAAGUUCCGACCUGCACGAAUGGCGUAACGACUUUCCCACUG